rnacentral:lncRNA from 1 species
CAAAACUGUCUUGGACUGGAGAGAUGGCUUAGUGGUUAAGAGCAUGGACUGCUCUUCCAGAGGUCCUGAGUUCAAUUCCCAGCAACCACAUGGUGGCUCACAACCAUCUCUAAUGGAAUCUGGUGCCCUCUUCUACAGCAUACUCUCAUCUCUUAAAGAAAUUGUCUUUGAUAUUCUUUCCUAGCAAAUAAUUAAACUUCUUUUAUUCUAAUUAUAGGAUGAACCAACCACAGGCAUGGACCCCAAAGCCCGGAGAUUCCUGUGGAAUUGUGCCCUAAGCAUUAUCAAGGAGGGAAGAUCCGUAGUUCUUACAUCUCAUAGGUCUGUACUAUUAUAGUCUUGACUUUUACCGAGUGUAAUUAUAUCUGCUCAUUUUAUAAAAAUU